GCGGGUGUAAUUCAGUGGUAGAAUGUCACCUUCCCAAGGUGAACGCCGUCGGUUCGAAUCCGAUCACCCGCUCCA
rnacentral:tRNA from 1 species